GAUGAACGCUGGCGGCGUGCCUAAUACAUGCAAGUCGAGCGAACAGACGAGGAGCUUGCUCCUCUGACGUUAGCGGCGGACGGGUGAGUAACACGUGGAUAACCUACCUAUAAGACUGGGAUAACUUCGGGAAACCGGAGCUAAUACCGGAUAAUAUAUUGAACCGCAUGGUUCAAUAGUGAAAGACGGUUUUGCUGUCACUUAUAGAUGGAUCCGCGCCGCAUUAGCUAGUUGGUAAGGUAACGGCUUACCAAGGCAACGAUGCGUAGCCGACCUGAGAGGGUGAUCGGCCACACUGGAACUGAAACACGGUCCAGACUCCCACGGGGGGCAGCAGUGGGGAAUUUUCCGCAAUGGGCGAAAGCUGGACGGAGCAACGCCGCGUGAGGGAUGAAGGUUUUCGGAUCGUAAACCUCUGUUAUUAGGGAAAAAAAAAUGUUUAAGUAACUUUCCCCGUUUUGACGGUACCUAAUCAAAAAGCCACGGCUAACUACGU
rnacentral:rRNA from 1 species